rnacentral:rRNA from 1 species
UACGGGGGGGGCAAGCGUUGUUCGGAAUUACUGGGCGUAAAGCGUGCGCAGGCGGUGAUGUAAGACCGUUGUGAAAUCCCCGGGCUCAACCUGGGAACUGCAUCUGUGACUGCAUCGCUGGAGUGCGGCAGAGGGGGAUGGAAUUCCGCGUGUAGCAGUGAAAUGCGUAGAUAUGCGGAGGAACACCGAUGGCGAAGGCAAUCCCCUGGGCCUGCACUGACGCUCAUGCACGAAAGCGUGGGGAGCAAACAGG